rnacentral:tRNA from 1 species
GUGGAAAUAGCUCAGUUGGUAGAGUGCUUGCCUAGCAUGCGUAAAGCCCUGGGUUCAAUUCCCAGCACCACC